rnacentral:lncRNA from 1 species
UGGAGGAUUAGUUGUUUGGAGUGUGGUUACGGAGUUUCUCAACCCACACUUUUUCAACGUUGGUAACCAUUAAGAAAAGACAUAGAAUACUCAAUUCUGUUCACUCAAAUUUGGUAGAUUCCGGGAGUGAGUUUCUUACCCCAACAUUAGUGUUACAAUGCACACCAGUUUAACUGUAGUUAGCUACUUUCAUUCAGGGCUCUUGUUAGCAUCUUAUAGUAAAGGCGUGGAUGAGGAGGGGGGAAAAUAAAGCUUUGACAGAUGGUACUCAGCGUUUGACUCCUGCUGAGCUCAGCAGGACCUGUGGUUUCCAAGGUUAGGGCUGUCAAAAUGGCUCUGUCUAUCAAGUGAAUAACAAAGUGUAGACUGCCUGUCUGUUUCCUAUACAAAACUUAGAUUUCAUUUGCCAUUAUUGUCGGCCUUUCUGCUGAUUUAAUAACUUCUAAGGAGAAGAACUAGGGGUUCUGAUGCAGCCUCACUAUUUAAGAAACUACUUGGAAAGGGAAUUCUCAAGGGCUGAAAGAGGUAGGCCGCGAUCUGAUCUCUUUCUCUUUGGUUUCUCUCUAAGGCUUCAAGACUUAAAAAGGAUUCAAAAGACACCAAAGGUUCACUUUUGGCUAAAAGCUAAAUGUGAACCUUUCAAAAUGAACUCAUUGCUGUCUUCCUCUCAAAAGGCCUUCAGAUGGUCAGAUAAAGUACCUGAUGCUGAAAAACAGGAAAUUGAAUCAUGUCUCCAAAAUGUGCUUUUUGUCAUGCACUGUUACAGCUAUAUUUCUUGUAACUACAUUCAGCCUCCAGCCAAGAUAAAGAAUUAUGUGAUACAUACUUCAUCUUCCAUCUCUGCUUUCAAAAGAUGUGAAUUCUGCAAACCAGACAGAAGAGGGAGCUAUCCAUCUGGAA